ensembl:lncRNA
CAAAAAGAAGCCAGGUGCACAUUUUAAUUAAAAACACAUUUUUCCAAUUACAGUUGAAACCGUGAACCUAAAAUAAAAAGCGAAGCAAAUGUCGUGAGUUCAAGCAAGCUAAUUACAGUAAAUCAAAUGGAAAGUUACAAAAGAUAGAAUCAAAGCUUAAGGCUAACUUUAUAUGUUUGCUUAACGCCAGGCUGCAGCACUAGGGGGGUCGAUGGAUUCAUUUUUCUUUUAGCAUUCAGGUCUGGGCUGCUUCCUAAAAUUGACUUAAAGUUGCAUUCAUUGGGAAAUCGGGGUCCUUAAAAUCCGGAUCUGAGAAGGCAGAAAAGGAAAUAGGAAAAAAUUGCAUGUUUUCUCUUAAGGCACCUGGUGAGUCUUUCCAAUAAAAUAAUCGUUUCCAUCCACUGAUAUUUUCAACAUUCAGCUCACCAUUGCUGGCUGUGGGUUCUGAACUGCCUCAGUUUCGGGCUUCAGGUUUAUCAUCCUUAGCAACAAGUCUACUUAUGUGUUCCCAAGAAAGCACGAGGCGCAGAGACUUAAAUUUUCACAUAAUCAGCCAUCUUCUCUGAGAUACACUGAAAGACUACGUUUCUCACGCUGCAUGUGGUGGAGAUUAUGAGCUUGUACUCAGAAGGGAGGCCUUCCGAUUCAGGCUUUUACUCUCUAGAGUCCCUGGGCCUUAUGUAUUUUGUAUUAGCUGCUAUAGAUUAAAAUUGUUCAUACAAUUUUCUCUGGGGGAUAGAAGGCGAUGGCUCUGCUUGAAAUAUGUGUUGCAUUUUUCUUUCUCUUGCAAUUUAUGUAAAGAGACCUGAUAGGAUUUGGAUUCGGCAAACAGACUUCAGACCAGAUGAACUGAACAGCGGCUGUAUCUCGUGCCCUUAAAGUUUGUGUGACUGCACAUCGCUUUGUUCCCAUUAUCUUGAAAAAUCUAACGAGCACACACUAUACUUGCAAACCAC